UUCUUUGUUUAGGGGUAACUCGUUACGCCAUUAAUGUUAGGCCUAAACUUUAUUUUAUGAUUUAGUUAAGUGUAGAUCCCUACUUAAGCUAAGUCAAUGAACUUGAACUUACUAGUAGCCUACAUACCACUUUACUAGUACAAUACUACUAGUAUUACCACAAUACCAAUAAUAUGCCGAAAUACCGAAGAAACAACAUUUUACUUUUAACUUAGCAGCCACCGUUGACGUUGUACCACCUGGCUUGCAAACAGUGGUGCACAGGAGGCUGUUGAAUAACGUAUGUCAUGUAUACCUAACAAAGGUUUGUCAACUAUAACAAUGACACUGAUUGCUGUGUUUGUAGUAUUGAGACAUCGAGUGUCUUGUUGGACAGUUGUUUGAUAACAAUAUGGAACACAUCAGUGUUCUCUGGUUUAGACGUGAAAUAUUGUAAAAGAUGAUGAAGAAAUUAGGGUUUGUCAACUAUAACAAUGACACUGAUUGCUGUGUUUGUAGUAUUGAGACAUCGAGUGUCUUAUUGAACAGUUGUUUGAUAACAGUAUGGAAUACAUCGGUCUCUUUGGUGCCUCCUCCGAUUUAGAAGGAAAUAUUUAAAAGGAUGAGGAAAAGAACUCUUAUUAUUUUAGGCUUAACAAGGGAAUCUCUAUGUUUCACAUUUUCUCUGCCUGAAACUUACAAUUAUAAUGGCUUUCAACAGCACUUCAGGAGCCAAAUAUCUGAAGAUAACGUCAUCCAGAGAGGGACGAGGCAACCAUUUUCAUUUCGGCUAUGCUGUCGAGGAGGUGUUGGAUAUGCACAUCCGUGAUGAGUGAUAAAAACGCAUCACUCUACCUGUCACUGUGAUUGUUGAUAAGAAAAACACUGGCUAUUUUGGUUAAGUUUAAUUACUUCAAUAAUUCAUACUUAGCUUUAAAAAAAAAAAGUCACGGUGUAUUCCAAAUUGUACCGUCAGUAACAUUAGAUCAAUAUAUUUACCACUUGUUUUGUAUCUAUAUGAUAAAUAAAUAGCAAAUUCACUGCGUUAAUCAUGAUUCUUGUGCAGUUAUAUGAAUUAAACUCCGGAACUAUGAUACUCAAAUACUCGCAUGAAAAUCAACGAGGCAUAGCCACUUAGUGCUAGACAUUGUAGAUGUUAGGAACAGUUUUUAUUGGCUGAAUAAGAAA